rnacentral:siRNA from 1 species
UCCUAGAUUUCUAAUCAUCAUUUC